CCCUCCUCCCCACCAAUCCCCCGUUCUCCUAAAGCCCCGCACCCCUCCUCCCCUGCUCUCGCACCCCGCGUCGGGCCGCCGCCGUUUCUCUCGGUCUGCUCGGAGGGACGGAGAGGGUGAGUCCAUGGUCAGAUGAGGGAGGAAGACAGAUGACGGGGUGGAUCGGGUACUCGAGGAGGACGCCAAGGCCCAGCAGUCUCCCCCAAAUCUCGUCGCCUCGGGCGUGGAGGCGAGCUUCCCGGCGACGUAGGCGUAGCGCCGCCAAGAGGUCAGCAACGAGGAGGUUCAGCAGUCCGUUUCGUCGUCCUCGUCCCUAGGCGUCUGUUGCUGGAGAGAAGGACGCCAAGGCCCAGCAGUUUGUGACGGCCCCACCGGACGACGGACCCGGCGGGACAGCGGGCUCUAGCUUUCUCUCCCUUCUUCUUCAUCUGGACAGAGAAUGACUCUGCUCAGAUGCAUAGUCAGGCAACUCACCGGAGAGAGCUGGGAUGGAGGCGACUCUGAGGAAGAUGAAGGCCAAGAGCGGUGCCGCUGCCGGGGAGAGGAGGCCGGUGCUGUCGAGGACAAUACUGCUCCUCUGCGCCUGCAGCUUCAUCCUUGGCGUGCUCUUCACCGACCGGUUCAGAGCGAUGCCGGAUUUAAAGAGCCAGGUGGUGGCGCAGCGCUGCGGUGACAGGAAGAGGAGCUGCAGAUCGUUUCUGAAGAUUUUGUUGCGAUCGACAGCAUCCAUUUUUUGGCUCCUGGUUUAUUUCAGAAAAAGAACAAACGAGAAACCAUCCGACGACAGGGACGUGAUGGGGAAGUGGCAAAGACUCAUGAGGCCAUACAAAGGGGAGUGUUUACAGCAUGGGAUUAGGACGACACACUAUGCCAUGUACACAAAAGGGAGGCAUGGAAGUGGACGUCGAGCAAACAGACGGGGUUCCUCAUCCCCAAGAAAACCCUAGCCUAGCGCUCUGGGAUGAUGUUGGUGAUCGCGGCGGCGCCGGCCUGGGCCCAAAGGCGCGCUUCGUCCUUGAUGGUGGAGCACAGGUGGGAGACAGAGGGUCGGUCCCCGUCGAAGGUGCAGCUGUUUCUAUGCUUCCAAAUCCACCAAGCGGUGAGGAUGAUGAGGGAGGAUAGGCCUUUACGCAUGGCAGCGGGCGCGAGAGCACAAGAAGAGGCCCAACGAUGCAACACCUGCUGGCUGGCUGCUCCUUCUCCCGCCAGAUAUUUAGACAAGUUGAUCGCCACGCUGCAGAUGGAGUUGGCAGCGCGGUUCAGCAAGCAUGAGCUGCUUGAGAGUGCGGAUGGCAAGGCAGGAAAGGAAAAAGGCUUUUAUGGUGAUCAGGAUCAAUACCGCGUUCAGUAGCAAGAAGCGCCGUGAUUCUGUCAGGGAGAGAUGGAUGCCUCAAGGUUCAUUACUUUGCAAUGUUGUCUCCCUUGUUUUGGCUGUUUUGGCCUAGCUGUUGCUUUCUGCAUUUCUUGUUCUUAGUUAGAUCGAUGCAGAGGGAUGUGUUUUUAAUCAACUAGGAUUAUGACGUGCAAAUAGCAAGGAAAUAACAGAGAAAUGUGCAAGUACGAAAUCAAGGGAUCAGAUAGGAUCAUCUAUCGUCCCAGCAAAUAGAAUCAACUAAAUGUGAUUUUUUAUCAUCAUAACAACUAGAAUAAUCAGGUAGGUUUAUUUAACAUCAUAGCUGCCUUGGGUCAUACAGUUUGUUUGUUGCCUGCAUACUUUCUUCUAAGAGUUGAGCUAUUUAGAUUGGGGUGGAUCAUUUAGUUGUCUGGCAUUUAUUUUUAUUUCACCACAUAUAUCUCAUCGUUGUUUAUCAGAUGAGAAACUCAAGAAACUGGAAGAGGAAAAGGGAGUCGUCAUUCGAUUUAUGAUUGGGCAUAGGUAAGGUUACUGGCACUAAGGUUCAAUAUAUAAUAACUUGUUUGCUGAAAAAAAAUCAUAAGAUGAGGUCCCGUAAAAGACAAAUCGUAACAUAGAACACAUAUAUUGUAAAUAUCUCCAUGGAAAGCUUACAUAUUUUAGACAAUAAAAGGAACCCGUAAAGCCUCAAUGUUAUAAACAGGUGCAGAUGGGGUUUCCCUAAUUCCCUAUCUUUAAACAGGACACCACUUGUCUAAUUGCUACAGAGUUAGAAAGUAUAAUUGGACAGUAAGUAGAUAAGGACAUAAAUCUGCUAUUCGUUGUGCAGCUAUGAGUCAACUGUGCAUGAACUGAAAAGGGAAGAUUGAACAAGUUCUGAGCUGCUAUCUGGAACCAUAAGUAUGCAAGUUUUACAAAAUAGUUUGGAUGAAAAAGCAAAACAAUACAAGGAGCCUGCGUAGAUGCACAUAUUUUUGAUGAAUAACACUCAUUUUAGUGUUAUAUCUCAGCUUGUAUGUCAGUAAGUGUGUAAGUUUAGUCUAAUACUCGCUUUUCUUUUUCCUCAGAUCAAAAGCCAAGGGGAUUUGUUGGGUGAUAGCUUGAUUCUAAGGCAUUAAUAGAUUUACAACACUUCCAAAAAUUUACUGGCAUUUUGUAUUAUAUUUAUUCAAGUCGCUGAUUGAUUCUUGACCAUCACUUGAUCAACUAUAUUCAUUUUCUAAUACAAAGCCACUUCGCUAAUUAUCUUAUGACUAUUGAAGGGUUUAAAAUGUGAGUAUGAUGUGCGUGGAGAGAUUGUCAUCCAUGCUCAGGUAUUUCAAGUGACCAACAAGUGUUAUUUCAGUAAUUUGAAAUCUCCUGUAUUCAGAGUUUAGUCAACUCUUAGUCAUGUUCUUUAAUAAUCAUUAGGUCUAAUAAAAGUUUAGAACGAUGCACUAUUUUUCUGAAUUUUGACUAGGCAAGUGCAUCUUUGGUUGCGCCGAUCGGAUCGGAUUCAAUGCGUACAUCGUAUUGAUGGACUGCUGACCGCUUCAUCUGGUGUUUCCUCUGUCGUGUGAGUUGCAUGUUGUUUUGAGAGCUUGAAGCAAGCAGAAAGCCGAUGGAGGGGCUUAGGGAUGAUGAAAGCAUUAGUGACGACAUCAGGCGAGAGAGUAUCGAGACUGCAAAUCGCUUUCCUGUUUCUGCAUUUCUUACUGUAUAUGUAACUUUGGCAGUAUUCAGAUCGUAUAGCCUACGGGGAGCAGUGGAAAACAUAAUUUGUUGAUGCUUAAAAUUUGGAGUGGUAUGUUUGAUACAUCUGCGCUGUUGACACGGUCUUCUUUAAUGAAUAACAAGGUAGUACAGUAGAAUUGUAACUUUAGAGCCCUGCAAA